rnacentral:rRNA from 1 species
AUUGAACGCUGGCGGCAUGCUUUACACAUGCAAGUCGAACGGUAGAGGGGACAACCCCUUGAGAGUGGCGAACGGGUGAGUAAUGCAUCGGAACGUGCCCAGUCGUGGGGGAUAACGCAGCGAAAGCUGUGCUAAUACCGCAUACGAUCUCUGGAUGAAAGCGGGGGACCGAAAGGCCUCGCGCGAUUGGAGCGGCCGAUGUCAGAUUAGGUAGUUGGUGGGGUAAAGGCUCACCAAGCCAACGAUCUGUAGCUGGUCUGAGAGGACGACCAGCCACACUGGGACUGAGACACGGCCCAGACUCCUACGGGAGGCAGCAGUGGGGAAUUUUGGACAAUGGGCGCAAGCCUGAUCCAGCAAUGCCGCGUGCAGGAAGAAGGCCUUCGGGUUGUAAACUGCUUUUGUACGGAACGAAAAGGUCUGGGUUAAUACCCUGGGCACAUGACGGUACUGUAAGAAUAAGCACCGGCUAACUACGUGCCAGCCGCCGCGGUAA